GAUUUUUUUGAAAAUGAAUUAUUGUAGUGCAAAAAUACUUGUAUUUUGAUUUGAAAGUGAAAUAUUUGGAAUUAUUUUGUACUGCAAUUCUUCUCGAGAUCAUCUACACUGACGAAAAAUCAUCCCACGCUUCCUAACCCGAAAAUAUUACCUCAUCAAACUUCGAGUUUAUUCCGAAAAAUCUUAAACUAUCUGGGCUUAAUUUCGUGGAGCCGUUUUGGGGUGAAAUCCAUGGAAAUAGAAAUAAUUAAUAUCAUGUUAGCCUAUCAAAAGUAGACAUUAAUGACUGACAACUAGCGAAAUUUAUUUUUUGGGACAUGUAGAUUAAAAAUUAUGUCUACUUUCUGUGAAAAUUAAAUAAAUUCAGAUCGGUUCUCGCAAUUUUGGCCCACGUUUUGUUUAUAGAAAACUCCUA